CAGUCGCCGCGGUAAUACGAAGGGUGCAAGCGUUACUCGGAAUUACUGGGCGUAAAGCGUGCGUAGGUGGUGGUUUAAGUCCGUUGUGAAAGCCCUGGGCUCAACCUGGGAAUUGCAGUGGAUACUGGGUCACUAGAGUGUGUCAGAGGAUGGUGGAAUUCCCGGUGUAGCGGUGAAAUGCGUAGAGAUCGGGAGGAACAUCAGUGGCGAAGGCGGCCAUCUGGGACAACACUGACGCUGAGGCACGAAAGCGUGGGGAGCAAACAGGAUUAGAUACCCGCGUAGUCCCUGUCUCUUAUAC
rnacentral:rRNA from 1 species